rnacentral:rRNA from 1 species
AUGAAUCCACUCAAAUGUGCUUUCGGUGUAUCGGCUGGUAAGUUCUUAGGUUUUAUAAUUCAUGAGCAUGGCAUAGAGAUUGAUCCUAAGAAGGUAGAGGCAAUCAGAAAAUUGGAGGAGCCCACAUGUAAAAGGGAUGUGCAGAAAUUGUUAGGAAAAAUUAAUUACUUGAGACGAUUCAUAUCUAACCUUGCGGGAAAAAUUGAAUCGUUUGUUCCUUUACUUCGGUUAAAACAUGAAGCCGAAUUCACUUGGGGGGCAGAACAGCGAGAGGCUUUUAAUAAUAUAAAACAGUAUUUGUCAAGUCCUCCGGUGCUUCGAGCACCCAAGUCUGGUGUGCCGUUCAGGUUAUACAUUGCCGCACAAGACAAGGUGAUCGGCGCAGUUUUAGCACAAGAGAACGGCGGGAAGGAGUACAUCAUUGCAUACUUGAGCCGCCGCUUGCUUGACGCUGAGAGUCGGUACGUGUUUAUUGAAAAAUUAUGUUUAUCUUCAUAUUAUGCAUGUACAAAAUUUCAGCCAUAUUUACUUUAUAGUACAUGUGUAGUAGCUUGCCAAGCGGACGUGAUUAAAUAUAUGCUGCAGCAGCCGAUUCUUAGUGGUGGGAUUGGAAAAUGGGCUUAUGCACUAAUAGAAUAUGACUUGGCAUAUGAAUCGUUGCGUGCUAUGAAAGGUCAAGUCAUCGCUGAUUUUAUUGUUGAUCAUAGGAUUAAGGAUGAAAAAGAUAUUAAUUAUGUUAGUGUGUGCCCAUGA